rnacentral:rRNA from 1 species
CCUACGGGCGGCAGCAGUGGGGGAUAUUCCACAAUGGGGGAAACCCUGAUGCAGCGACGCCGCGUGGGUGAAGAAGCGCCUCGGCGCGUAAAGCCCUGUCAGCAGGGAAGAAAAUGACGGUACCUGAAGAAGAAGCCCCGGCUAACCACGUGCCAGGAGCCGCGGUAAUACGUAGGGGGCACGCUUUAUCCGGAUUUACUGGGGGGAAAGGGGGCGCAGACGGGGAUGCAAGCCAGGAGGGAAAGCCCGGGGGCUAACCCCGGGACUGCUCUUGGAACUGCGUGGCUAGAGUGCAGGAGGGGCAGGCGGAAUUCCUGGUGUAGCGGUGAAAUGCGUAGAUAUCAGGAGGAACACCGGUGGCGAAGGCGGCCUGCUGGACUGCAACUGACGUUGAGGCCCGAAAGCGUGGGGAGCAAACAGGAUUAGAUACCCUUGUAGUC